rnacentral:pre_miRNA from 1 species
GAAAACUUAGAAACUACCGUUGGAUUCACCAUAAGUUAAAAUUUAACUCGCAGAUUCACUCAUGAGUUAAAAUUUUACUAGGAGUUAAUUUUUAACUCAUGGUGAAGUGGACGAAUCUCGGACAUCCAUUUCUCGAUUCAACGGUAGUUUCUAAGUUUUC